rnacentral:lncRNA from 1 species
UCUAUUUUUGUAUUAGAAUCAAUCGUCAAUAAAUCUCUCACCUAAUAGACUUUUUUUUUAUUGAUAAUUGGUAUUCAUUAAAUAAAGUUUUAAUAAUCAAAGGACCGUACUUGAAUUCUAUCAAACCAAACAUCUUGAUCAUUCAACAUCUUUCACUUCCAUUUACUUAGUAAUGCAAUGUUAGAAACUUCCACAUUCUUCACACCAAGACGUCCCUCAAUUUAGAUUUACAAAUUGUAUCUCAACUCACCCAAAAAAAAGCUUUUUAUUUUCCUCCACUUCUCCCUAUAGAAAAGAACACUGACUUUUAAUUACAACAUCCAACAACUUUCUUGAAGCUUUAUAGAAAGAAAAAAAAAAUACAAAGGUAUGCUAUUAAGCCCCGAAUUCAACAGAGUUACCCUUUCUCCCAUUUAAUCUAUUUUUUAAAUUCUCCAAUACCGAUUUCCAAAUUGAAAAUUUUCUCAUAUUAACCCCGACUGGUAAGCCGAUAAAUUUGAAAGGCACCAAAACCACAUAACAACAAAGGAACGUUGAUGCAGCUAUAGAAAAGUAUAAUCUAAAUUGAUACUAUAUAACUAGUUUUUGAAGAAGUUAACUUUUAAACCUGAGUCAAGCUUGAAACAUACAAGUAUAACUUUUAUGCUCCACAAGUUUCACCAAUUGCCUUUCCCACCAGAAUUGUGUCAUCUGGAAAUUGUAAAAUUUGAUAGAUGAGAUUGUUAUGUACCGCUAUCAAAAAGAAAAAAGGUGAUAGCAGAUCUCUUUGUUAUAGAUUUAUUUUUCAUUAAUAAUUAAUUAAGAUAAGUAGUUUGAUAAAAGAAAAUUCUUUUAAUUAUGACAAUUUUUAAUAUAUGUAUAAAAAAUUUAAACGAUAUUUAUUGGAGAAAGUAAUUUCUAAUACUAGUGGUUAAUCAACGAUAGAUUACUUAUCUAGCACGGUAUUAAUAGAAAGUAAUUUCUAUUAUGGAUACCAAAUUAAAUUAUUUAACAUGUGUGUCCAAACCAAAGCAUGUGGUGCUGACGGAAGAAGGCGAUUAGCUGACAAGUUUUGGUGGGAUCGUAAGUUCGAAAGAACCUUCCAAAAUGAUAUGAUUAUUGCUUAUAGAUUGAGAUGACCCUAUUAUUGAGUUUUGGUUGCUUAUGGUAGCU